CCCUUAGAUGUUCUGGGCCGCACGCGCGCUACACUGAUGCAUUCAACGAGUCUAAAACCUGGUCUGAUAGGGCUGGGUAAUCUUUUGAAAGUGCAUCGUGAUUGGGAUAGAUGAUUGCAAUUCUUCAUCUUCAACGAGGAAUUCCUAGUAAGCGCAAGUCAACAGCUUGCGUUGAUUACGUCCCUGCCCUUUGUACACACCGCCCGUCGCUACUACUGAUUGGAUGUUUAAGCGAGGUUCUCGAACUGCUAGCGACUUAGCUUCGGUGAGGUCGCAGUGUGGGAAGUGAACCUAGCUUUGGUGUCUAGAGGAAGUAAAAGUCGUAACA
rnacentral:rRNA from 1 species